rfam:Triticum urartu cultivar G1812 contig490517, whole genome shotgun sequence.
CUUCUACUCCCUCCGUCCCAAAAUUCUUGUCUUAGAUUUGUCUAAAUACGGAUAUAUCAAAUCAUGUUUUAAUCCAUAUCUAGAUAAUAAAUCAACGACAAGAACUUUGAGACGGAGGGAGUAAUAA